UACGGGGGGGGCAAGCGUUGUUCGGAAUUACUGGGCGUAAAGGGCUCGUAGGUGGCCAACUAAGUCAGACGUGAAAUCCCUCGGCUUAACCGGGGAACUGCGUCUGAUACUGGAUGGCUUGAGUUCGGGAGAGGGAUGCGGAAUUCCAGGUGUAGCGGUGAAAUGCGUAGAUAUCUGGAGGAACACCGGUGGCGAAGGCGGCAUCCUGGACCGACACUGACGCUGAAGAGCGAAAGCCAGGGGAGCAAACGGG
rnacentral:rRNA from 1 species